CCUACGGGGGGCAGCAGUGGGGAAUAUUGGUCAAUGGGCGGAAGCCUGACCCAGCCACGCAGCGUGCAGGAAGAAGGCUUUCGGGUUGUAAACUUCUUUUCUCAGGGACAUAACACGUGACGGUACCUGGGGAAUGAGCCACGGCUAACUACGUGGCAGCAGCCGCGGUAAUACGUAGGUGGCAAGCGUUAUCCGGAUUUACUGGGUGUAAAGGGCGUGUAGGCGGGAAAGCAAGUCAGAUGUGAAAACCAUGGGCUCAACCCGUGGCCUGCAUUUGAAACUGGUGUUCUUGAGUACUGGAGAGGCAGACGGAAUUCCUAGUGUAGCGGUGAAAUGCGUAGAUAUUAGGAGGAACACCAGUUGCGAAGGCGGUUUGCUGGAGAGCAACUGACGCUGAGGCGCGAAAGCGUGGGGAGCAAACAGGAUUAGAUACCCUAGUAGUC
rnacentral:rRNA from 1 species